rnacentral:rRNA from 1 species
UGAACGCUAGCGGCAGGCCUAACACAUGCAAGUCGCGGGGCAGCACGGGUAGCAAUACCUGGUGGCGACCGGCGCACGGGUGCGUAACGCGUAUGCAACCUGCCCCCAUCAGGGGAAUAGCCCGCCGAAAGGCGGAUUAAUGCCCCAUAGGCCCAGGGCGCCGCAUGGCGCUAUGGGUAAAGCUCCGGCGGAUGGGGAUGGGCAUGCGUGCCAUUAGCUAGUUGGGCGGUAACGGCGCUACCAAGGCGACGAUGGCUAGGGGGUCUGAGAGGAUGGUCCCCCCACACUGGUACUGAGACACGGACCAGACUCCUACGGGAGGCAGCAGUGAGGAAUAUUGGUCAAUGGGCGCAAGCCUGAACCAGCCAUGCCGCGUGCAGGAAAAGACGGCCUUAUGGGUUGUAAACUGCUUUUACAUAAGACUAACCGUAUAUUUGCGAAUAUACCUGAAUGUAUUAUGAGAAUAAGGAUCGGCUAACUCCGUGCCAGCCGCAGC